GAAGCUGCUAAAAGAGGUGAUUCUACUGGUGUCCAGUCUGCACUGUCUCAAGGAGCUAAUGUAAACUAUCAGAAUCUCAAUGAGGAUGGAGUUACUUCCCUUCAUGUUGCUGCAAAAGAAGGAUAUGUUGAGGUUGUACAAAAUUUAGUGUCUGCUGGAGCUAAUGUGAACCUCAUAGAUACAGAUGGAUAUACUGCUCUUAUUAAAUCAGCAGAAGAAGGACACUAUGAAAUUGCAGAAUUACUGCUUAAGAGUGGAGCUGACCCAA